UGAAGCUUUGAGAAGAGACAGGACUUGCCAGGGUUGAAGGUACAGAGUGAGAAUUCUGACCUGGCAGCAGGCUCAGAGGCUCUCAGAAGAAGACACCACAGCCCCUGAGCCCAUGCUGUUCUCAAUUCAUAUAAAAUAACCCUCUUUAUCUUACAGAUGACAAAACUGAGGCCUGGAGCAGAAAACAGCCCGUGCAAUGUCACACAAGGAGAGGGUGGCCGUGUGGACCCAGAGCCACUGUCCCCGGGUCAGACCAUCUCUGGUCUCCAGCUUCUCAGACAUGAAACUAGCAGUUCUGUCAGAUGAUCUCCCCAGGUAGACACCCCGCUUCCUGCCCUGGACUGGCUGCCUCAGGUUGCUGGACCACCAUGCUGCUGCACAUUGAUGGGCACAGAGAAAGGGCCAAGGGGGCUGUGGAGAUGGGCAGCACAUCAGCCGCAGACUUACCUGCUGCCUCUCCUCUGGCGCCCGGCUGGUCCGUCAC